UACGGAGGGGGCUAGCGUUGUUCGGAAUUACUGGGCGUAAAGCGCACGUAGGCGGCUUUACAAGUCAGGGGUGAAGACCCGCGGCUCAACCGCGGAAUUGCCCUUGAGACUGUAUCGCUUGAACACGGGAGAGGUGAGUGGAAUUCCGAGUGUAGAGGUGAAAUUCGUAGAUAUUCGCAAGAACACCAGUGGCGAAGGCGGCUCACUGGCCCGGUACUGACGCUGAGGUGCGAAAGCGUGGGGAGCAACAGGG
rnacentral:rRNA from 1 species